UUGUUUGUCAAUUUUUGCUGCACAUGCUUUCUAUUGUAAAGAUUCAACUGUGAAUUCAUGCUUAGAAAAAAUUGGAAGUGAUGUUGCUAGUAAGUGUAAAGGAUUGCCUUUGGCUGCAAAGGUGCUUGGGGGACUUUUUCGAUCAAAGCCUCACUUUGAAGACUGGAAUAAUAUAUUAAAAGGAUCGAUGUGGGAUUCAUUGGACGAUAAGAUCAUUCCAGCUUUGAGAGUUAGUUAUUAUUAUCUCCCUCCCAAUUUAAAACAAUGCUUUGCCUUUUGUUCUUUAUUCUCGAAGGAUUAUCAAUUUGAUAAGGAAGAAUUAAUCUUGAUGUGGAUGGCAGAAGGUUUCUUGCAACCGUCAAAGCGAAAUAUGACUUUAGAAGAAGUUGGUCAAGAGUACUUUGAUUAUUUAACUUCAAGAUCAUUCUUUCAACCCUUAUUGCCUAAAAAUGAUAUGUCCUUUGGGAUGCAUGAUCUCAUUCAUGAGUUAGCAACUCAUGUUGCUGGAGACUUUUACCUUAGAUUAGGGGAGAAUGGAAACAAAAUUGGUAAUAAGACACGUCAUUUAUCUUGCAACUUUCAAUAUUAUCCAUGCUUAAGUCGUGAGGUUUUUCAAAAAUCAAAAGGCAUACGAACAUUUAUAGGAUUGGAUUUUUUCAAUGUCCCUAGGUCUAUUGGAAAUGCUUCUCAUAUUGUAUCAUCAAAUUUGAAGCACUUGCGGAUGCUGUCACUUGAGGGUUUGCGGUCCUUAAAGAUAGUUCCUGACUUAAUCGGGGAAUUUAUCCAUUUGCGCUAUUUGAAUCUAUCAUUUACAAGUAUUAGAAGUUUGCCUAAUUCAAUCUGCAAGUUGUUUAAUUUACAGACGUUGAAGUUGCGUGGAUGUUCAUAUCUUGAGAUGCUACCAAGUGACAUGAAAGAUCUUGUAAAUCUUCGGUAUUUGGAUCUAUCUUUCUCAAAGAAGAUUGUAAGUUUGCCCGACUCAUUGUGCGAAUUAUACAAUCUACAAACAUUGCAGUUGCCAUGUUGUGAUUCUUUGAAGAUGCUGCCAAGAGAUAUGCAAGAUCUUAUAAACUUGCGACAUCUUGAUGUAAGAGGCACUAACUUGAAAGAAAUGCCGAGGGGAUUGGGUAGCUUAAAAGAUUUGAAAAUUUUAAGUAAAUAUGUUGUGGCCGAAGACCAAGGGACCGGAAUUGGAGAAUUGGGAGGAAUGUCAAAUUUGAAGGGUUUGAUUGAAAUUAGUAAAUUGGAGAUUGUCAAGAAUGGAAAAGAAGCCUACGAGGCGAGGAUGAUGGAGAAGAAGCACAUUAAAGGGUUAACAUUAUCAUGGUCUAGAGAUGGUGACGUGGAAGACACACGAACUGAGAGAGAUAUUUUGGGAAAUCUUCAACCUCAUUGGGAUUUAGAAGAUUUGGAAAUUAGAAAUUAUAGGGGCACGAUAUUUCCGGAUUGGUUAGGAAGCCAUUGCUACUUGAACAUGACUAUGUUGCAAUUGGUAGGGUGCAAAAACUGUUGCAUGCUUCCAACCCUUGGACGGCUCCCCGCUCUAAAGGAAUUAAGAAUUAAUGGAUUAAAUGGGGUAAAAAUAAUUGGUGAUGAGUUGUUGAAGGGAGAUGAUUGUGCUUCCAUAAUACCAUUUCCAUCCCUUGAAGUUCUCGAUUUUUCUUCGAUGACUUCAUGGGAACAAUGGCAUUCCAUUAACAUGGAAGCUUUCCCUAAGCUCCAAAUACUCAGAAUAUAUGAUUGCCUCAAGUUAAUUGGAAAUUUACCUCGCCAGUUGCUUUCUUUAGAAACUCUGGAGAUUGAUCGUUGUCCAUUUUUUUGUUCUAGUAUUCCGAGGUGUCCCAAACUUCAUAAACUAGCGAUAGAUGGAAGUGAAAAUGUGGGGUGGCAACAGCAAGAGUUACCUUCAUGCCUUUGGGAGCGAGAGAUUGUAGGAUGUCGGAUGUUGGAAUCAAUGGCAGAGCCACUCUCCAAACAUUCGCAUUUACAACAAUUAACUAUCUCUGGUUACUCUAAUAUAUCACCUCCAAUUAUUCAUUUGCCCCAGUCAUUACAAUAUUUACGGGUACGAUUGUGUGAAAAUGUUGAUUUUGUGAUGAGUUCAACUUCUCCUCUUCAAAAUCUCCAGUCUAUCAGUAUUGCAUUGUGUAAUUUUGUGAAAUUUAUGUGGGAUGACAUGGAAGGCCUUCUCCCGAAUUUAAGAAAGCUAAGCAUUGAGCAUUGUGAUGAGAUGGAAGCAUUUCCAGAAGGGAUCCUUGUGGCAAGUUUGAGGGAACUUAUUAUUGUAGGUAGUAGUAAGCUAUUAUCCCAUCAAGCAGAGUGGCACCUCCCAAGUAAUAUCACUUACCUUCGUAUGUAUCGCUAUAGUAAAGUGAAGUGUUUCCCAGAGGGGUGUUUUCUUCCUGCCACUCUAACCACCCUAGAACUCAAUGGCUUUGAUUGCUUGGAGACAUUGCAUUGCACAGGACUUCAACACCUAACCUCUCUCCAACGUCUAAAGAUCAUCUAUUGUCCCAAGCUGGAGAAAAUGUCAGGAGAAAAGCUGCCUACUUCUUUAAGAAAGCUUCACAUUUGGGGAUGUCCGUUGCUUGAAGAAAAAUACCUCAGCAAGGAUGAACAAUUUUUCCGCCAGAUAUCUCACAUCCCAAACAUCAAUCUAUUCACGGUAUGAGAUACAAUUAAUUAUGGAUCAGAUAGAGUCCAACAUGGUUAGUUCUAAUUGGUAAAAGCAAACCCAAUGCUUCUUCUUUGCAAGGGGUAAUGCUGCAAUUAAGAUCCCCUUCAUAUAUUCCUAUUCUAAAGAGCAUCAGCAAGAGUGACAGCAAGGGAUUUGCAGACUUGAAGUCUUGAACCUGUGCUGAUGAAAAUUGACAGAAUAUUCCCUGAUUUUCUGGAUUUUUUUUUGUGUGGCUCGGGUGCAUUAUUCUUUUUUUUUUUCCAAAGAAACUUUUGGUGAAAGUGUGUGUGGUGAAUCUGUACUUCUGUAUAUAAUGGCUUUUUUUUCUGUUUGCUUAAAUGUUGGGAUGAAUAUGUGUAUA